AGAUUAAACAUAAGAGUUUGAUCCUGGCUCAGAUUGAACGCUGGCGGCAUGCUUUACACAUGCAAGUCGAACGGCAGCACGGAGAGCUUGCUCUCUGGUGGCGAGUGGCGAACGGGUGAGUAAUGCAUCGGAACGUACCGAGUAAUGGGGGAUAACUGUCCGAAAGGAUGGCUAAUACCGCAUACGCCCUGAGGGGGAAAGCGGGGGAUCUUAGGACCUCGCGUUAUUUGAGCGGCCGAUGUUGGAUUAGCUAGUUGGUGGGGUAAAGGCCUACCAAGGCGACGAUCCAUAGCGGGUCUGAGAGGAUGAUCCGCCACAUUGGGACUGAGACACGGCCCAAACUCCUACGGGAGGCAGCAGUGGGGAAUUUUGGACAAUGGGGGGAACCCUGAUCCAGCCAUGCCGCGUGUCUGAAGAAGGCCUUCGGGUUGUAAAGGACUUUUGUUAGGGAAGAAAAGCUGGGUGUUAAUACCAUCUAGUACUGACGGUACCUAAAGAAUAAGCACCGGCUAACUACGUGCCAGCAGCCGCGGUAAUACGUAGGGUGCGAGCGUUAAUCGGAAUUACUGGGCGUAAAGCGAGCGCAGACGGUUAAAUAAGUCAGAUG
rnacentral:rRNA from 1 species